AGUGAACGCUGGCGGUAGGCCUAACACAUGCAAGUCGAACGGCAGCACAGUAAGAGCUUGCUCUUACGGGUGGCGAGUGGCGGACGGGUGAGGAAUACAUCGGAAUCUACUUUUUCGUGGGGGAUAACGUAGGGAAACUUACGCUAAUACCGCAUACGACCUACGGGUGAAAGCAGGGGAUCUUCGGACCUUGCGCGAUUGAAUGAGCCGAUGUCGGAUUAGCUAGUUGGCGGGGUAAAGGCCCACCAAGGCGACGAUCCGUAGCUGGUCUGAGAGGAUGGUCAGCCACACGGGAACUGAGACACGGUCCAGACUCCUACGGGAGGCAGCAGUGGGGAAUAUUGGACAAUGGGCGCAAGCCUGAUCCAGCCAUACCGCGUGGGUGAAGAAGGCCUUCGGUUUGUAAAGCCCUUUUGUUGGGAAAGAAAAGCAGCAGGUUAAUACCCCGCUGUUCUGACGGUACCCAAAGAAUAAGCACCGGCUAACUUCGUG
rnacentral:rRNA from 1 species